AACGAACGCUGGCGGCAUGCCUAAUACAUGCAAGUCGAACGAGGUCUUCGGAUCUAGUGGCGCACGGGUGCGUAACGCGUGGGAAUCUGCCCUUGGGUUCGGAAUAACUUCUGGAAACGGAAGCUAAUACCGGAUGAUGACGUAAGUCCAAAGAUUUAUCGCCCAAGGAUGAGCCCGCGUAGGAUUAGGUAGUUGGUGAGGUAAAGGCUCACCAAGCCGACGAUCCUUAGCUGGUCUGAGAGGAUGAUCAGCCACACUGGGACUGAGACACGGCCCAGACUCCUACGGGAGGCAGCAGUAGGGAAUAUUGGACAAUGGGCGAAAGCCUGAUCCAGCAAUGCCGCGUGAGUGAUGAAGGCCUUAGGGUUGUAAAGCUCUUUUACCCGGGAUGAUAAUGACAGUACCGGGAGAAUAAGCUCCGGCUAACUCCGUG
rnacentral:rRNA from 1 species